rnacentral:tRNA from 2 species
GGGCACAUGGUGUAGUUGGUUAUCACAUCCGCUUAGCAAUUAAUGAUCUGAAGGAUUUGUGUGCCCCCCUGAUGCGCAAAUCUUUCAGAUUAUUAAUUUCCACAAUGCGGGGGGUGCUGGGUUCAAUUCCCAGUGUGUCCA